UGGGGAAUAUUGGACAAUGGGCGAAAGCCUGAUCCAGCCAUGCCGCGUGUGUGAAGAAGGUCUUCGGAUUGUAAAGCACUUUAAGUUGGGAGGAAGGGCAGUAAGCGAAUACCUUGCUGUUUUGACGUUACCGACAGAAUAAGCACCGGCUAACUCUGUGCCAGCAGCCGCGGUAAUACAGAGGGUGCAAGCGUUAAUCGGAAUUACUGGGCGUAAAGCGCGCGUAGGUGGUUCGUUAAGUUGAAUGUGAAAGCCCCGGGCUCAACCUGGGAACUGCAUCCAAAACUGUCGAGCUCGAAGAUGGCAGAGGGUGGUAGAAUUUCCUGUGUAGCGGUGAAAUGCGUAGAUAUAGGAAGGAACACCAGUGGCGAAGGCGACCACCUGGGCUCAUACUGACACUGAGGUGCGAAAGCGUGGGGAGCAAACAGG
rnacentral:rRNA from 1 species